rnacentral:rRNA from 1 species
ACUCUAGAGAUAGAGUCUUCCCCUUCGGGGGACAAAGUGACAGGUGGUGCAUGGUUGUCGUCAGCUCGUGUCGUGAGAUGUUGGGUUAAGUCCCGCAACGAGCGCAACCCUUAAGCUUAGUUGCCAGCAUUAAGUUGGGCACUCUAAGUUGACUGCCGGUGACAAACCGGAGGAAGGUGGGGAUGACGUCAAAUCAUCAUGCCCCUUAUGAUUUGGGCUACACACGUGCUACAAUGGACAAUACAAAGGGCAGCUAAACCGCGAGGUCAUGCAAAUCCCAUAAAGUUGUUCUCAGUUCGGAUUGCAGUCUGCAACUCGACUACAUGAAGCUGGAAUCGCUAGUAAUCGUAGAUCAGCAUGCUACGGUGAAUACGUUCCCGGGUCUUGUACACACCGCCCGUCACACCACGAGAGUCUGUAACACCCGAAGCCGGUGGAGUAACCAUUUAUGGAGCUAGCCGUCGAAGGUGGGACAAAUGAUUGGGGUGAAGUCGUAACAAGGUAGCCGUAUCGGAAGG